UGGUCCUAAAACGGCCUGAGAGGGGUUUUAGUCGGUAGGUUCGAGGACUUCUUCCUCGGGAAUCCGACACUACCCGGUCGUACGGUCGGCUGGGUGUCUUUUGAAGAUUUCCCCUCUUCCA
rfam:Agrilus planipennis Contig12710, whole genome shotgun sequence.